rnacentral:rRNA from 1 species
AGAGUUUGAUCCUGGCUCAGAUUGAACGCUGGCGGCAUGCUUUACACAUGCAAGUCGAACGGCAGCACGGGGGCAACCCUGGUGGCGAGUGGCGAACGGGUGAGUAAUGUAUCGGAACAUGUCCGGAAGUGGGGGAUAACGUAGCGAAAGUUACGCUAAUACCGCAUAUGCCCUGAGGGGGAAUGGAGGGGAUCGUAAGACCUUUCGCUUUCGGAGUGGCCGAUAUCAGAUUAGCUUGUUGGUGAGGUAAAGGCUCACCAAGGCGACGAUCUGUAGCUGGUCUGAGAGGACGACCAGCCACACUGGGACUGAGACACGGCCCAGACUCCUACGGGAGGCAGCAGUGGGGAAUUUUGGACAAUGGGGGCAACCCUGAUCCAGCCAUGCCGCGUGAGUGAAGAAGGCCUUCGGGUUGUAAAGCUCUUUCAGAUGGAAAGAAAUCGUGCAGAUUAAUACUCUGUAUGGAUGACGGUACC